rnacentral:rRNA from 1 species
AGAGUUUGAUUCUGGCUCAGAACGAACGCUGGUGGCGUGUCUUAUACAUGCAAGUCGAGCGAGGCAGCAAUGCCGAGCGGCGAACGGGUGAGUAACGCGUAAGCAAUCUGCCCCAUAUCAGGAAAUACCCGUGCCAACGCGCGGUUAAUGUCCAGGAGAGUGGCCCUCCGCAUGGAGGGUUGACUAGAGAUUUAUCGGUAUGGGAUGAGCUUGCGUCCGAUUAGCUAGUUGGCGGGCAACGGCCCACCAAGGCGACGAUCGGUAGCCGGCCUGAGAGGGUGAUCGGCCACAUUGGGACUGAGAUACGGCCCAGACUCCUACGGGAGGCAGCAGUAGGGAAUAUUGCACAAUGGGGGAAACCCUGAUGCAGCAACGCCAACCGUGUGGGAAGAAGCAUUUCGGUGUGUAAACCACUGUCAUGAGGGAAUAAGGCCCGCCUUCGGACGGGAUUGAAUGUACCUUGAAAGGAAGCACCGGCAAACUUCGUGCCAGCCGCCGC